AGCGAACGCUGGCGGCAGGCCUAACACAUGCAAGUCGAACGAACCCUUCGGAGUUAGUGGCGGACGGGUGAGUAACACGUGGGAACGUGCCUUUUGGUUCGGAAUAACUCAGGGAAACUUGUGCUAAUACCGAAUGUGCCCUUCUGGGGAAAGAUUUAUCGCCAUUAGAGCGGCCCGCGUCUGAUUAGCUAGUUGGUGAGGUAACGGCUCACCAAGGCGACGAUCAGUAGCUGGUCUGAGAGGAUGACCAGCCACACUGGGACUGAGACACGGCCCAGACUACUACGGGAGGCAGCAGUGGGGAAUCUUGCGAAAUGGGCGAAAGCCUGACGCAGCCAUGCCGGGUGAAUGAUGAAGGUCUUAGGAUUGUAAAAUUCUUUCACCGGGGACGAUAAUGACGGUACCCGGAGAAGAAGCCCCGGCUAACUUCGUG
rnacentral:rRNA from 1 species